rnacentral:lncRNA from 1 species
UCCUGUUGCAACAGAUUGAUGAAACGGGGAAUUCUCCAUCCGAAGAACAACAGCCCUUACUCGAGCACGAUGAGCAGAGACUUCUUUAAGCAAGUUAGUUAAGAGUCCAUAGAUUGUAUCCAUAGCUGAUAAUAUACAUUUGCCAGCUAUUUUCCUAGUGGGCGAUGACUAUUUGUGUCGAUUUCCCAUAGUUUAUUUGAUACAAUAACA